UACAGAGGUGCCAAGCGUUAGGCGGAAUCACUGGGCUUACAGGGUGCGUAGGCGGUCUGUUAAGUAGGGUGUGAAAGCCCCCGGCUCAACCGGGGAAUUGCGCCCUAAACUGGCGGACUGGAGUGAGAUAGGGGUGUGCGGAACUUCCGGUGGAGCGGUGAAAUGUGUUGAUAUCGGAAGGAACGCCGAUGGCGAAAGCGGCACACUGGAUCUCAACUGACGCUGAGGCACGAAAGCCAGGGGAGCGAACGGG
rnacentral:rRNA from 1 species